rnacentral:lncRNA from 1 species
AUCUACUAAUUAUUGACAAAAGCUAUCUUACUUCUCAAAAAAAAUAUUAAUUCGAAAAAACAAAAAUAAAAUUUAGAAUUUAAAUCUUUUUAGACAAUUCAUAUAUUUAGUUAAUUAGGCGACACGAUCUCCUAAAGAUAAUAUACGAGAAUACACCAUUCGAAUCCAAAAUCUCUUAAAAAGAGAGAAAACACUAAUCAUAUUGUUAAAGAAUUAUUAGUAUAAUUUGAUUUGAAAAUGUAAUAAUGAAAGUAAAAUAUAUUAACACUUUUGUAUUGACUUAUUUAAUAGCCAAACAAUUCUUAAAGAAAUUAAAGAUAUAUUUCCUACCAAUUUAUGUAGUAAUAAUAUAAAGAUGUUGUCUCUCUUUUAAUAAAAAAAUGAUACUAGUCUGGUACUAAUAUAUGUCUUCUCCUCGACACUCCAUAUUAUCCUUUAAGAUAAUUAUUUUUUAAAAGGAAAUAAACUUUAUCAAUAACAAUUAACCACUAUAAACACAAUGAGAAGUACCAUUAAACAAUACAUCUGACAACCACUAUAUAGAUUGAUAAAGAAAUAGAAGGCAUUGCAUGUCAAAAACCAAUUAGAAGGAAACAAUCCAUCAUCCAUUACUAAUUUCAGCCCUUAAGAAAAUUAUGGUAUGCUAUAGAUUGCAUGUUGGUGUACAUACAAAUAACUAAAACCAAUUAAAGAUUAUAUAUGUAUGUGUAUACAAAUAAAGCAAUACUUAUUCUACUUGCUACUAGACAACAUUGCAACUGUAUCAUAAUAAUAUCACAUAUUUAGCAAAUUUGCAAGAUAUUAUCCAAACUACUUAAAAGAGCUAGUUGCUAGUGUACACAUGCACUUCUCAUCAACACUCUGAAUUAGUAGUAUAUAUGUGAGUGUAAUUUUUUAUUCUUUAAAAUAUAGGAAAUAAAGAUAGAUUGUUCUAUAUAUCGAUGAGUUAGAUAGAAGCCGAAACAAAUCUAACUAAAUGAUUAAACAAUAGAUCUAUAACUUAAUUUAGCAUGUUUUUCUAGAUAUAUAAUAUUAAUAUUAAUCAAAAUAUUAAUUAUUUUAGAUGUUCUGAUUAUAUCAGUUUUCUUAAAGAAAAAUAUUAUUCCUUAAUGCCACUAUCCCAAAUUUUAAUUCCAAGAUCCAAAUAGUGUAUCCACCAUCUAUUAAAUUCUAUACAAAAAUCUCAUUUGAAAUCUGAACAAAUUUAUGUAGCUAGUUAACUUAAUCUUCCUCCUAACUAGAUUGAACUUUUACAUAUACUAUAUCAAUAAUGCUUCUGUCAUCGCUCUAUUGUGUACAAAGAAAAUGAAAAAAAAAAAAAAAAGAGAAAAGAGCAUUCAGAUAGCUUAAAAUUAUAUUGAGUAUGUAGAUAUUUUAACAAAUAGCAAUAGAGCCACGUCAAGCCGGGGGAAUAGAGAAAUUAAAGAAUGAAGCAUAGUAAUAGUACAGGAUAAAUAAAAUAUUGAGGAGAAGAUUAAUGUGAAGAAAAUCAUAAUGCAAAGCAAUCUAAGUAUAUGCGUGCAUGCGAACCGAUGAUUGCGACUAUAAAGAUGACAACUGCAACUAUUAUGAUGACUACAACUAUUAAGACAAUAACUAUGAUGACUAAUAA